UAACGUAUAGUAUAAUGGUUAAUACAUAUCAAUACGGAUGAUAUAAUAUGUGUUCAAUUCACAUUACGUUAU
rnacentral:tRNA from 1 species